GCCAGCUCCGGCUGGGACAAGGGCCUGAACAACUGGAAACCCUGAUUUCGUCUCCACCCUAGCCCCUUUCUUGGGCAACACCCCCUGCACCAUCAGAGUUGCCUUCUCUGAAUGACUCUGCCUGAGGGAAGUAACCCAGGCUGGGCAGGGAGGGGUUAACGGGGCUACCCGACUCCGCGUGAGAGCCAGAUCUGGCUUAGCAGUUGCUGGCGCAAGCUAUGCUCAGGUGGGGAUGGGUGAAGAAGGACUUUGGAGACAGAGUACUGCUCCCGAAAGAAUAGCACUUGCGGAGGUAGCUCUCUGGCCCAGUGGAAAAAUGGCAUAUCUGGACUGUGGACCAAUCCCCAAGCCCGGCGUAGUGCCAGUCCAGUGAGGCCUCAAACCUGCCCUGUGACUUCGAGCAAGCUGAUGGCCUUUCCUGGGGCUCAUGUUCUCCAUCUGUCAAGACCCAUAACCGACUCUAACUGCUAGGGCAUUCGGAACUUGAAGUCCCAGAUCAGGAGAUGGGUUUACAAGACAUGCCGCUGAGGUAAGAGAAGCCUAACGUUCCCGUCUUUUGGGCAGAAUCCCACAGCCUCGGGACCCCGUCUGCUUUGUCUGCUGGGACUGGGGUCCUGCCUCAUGGGGUGCCUACACCCUGGGGUCCUGCCUC
rnacentral:lncRNA from 1 species